rnacentral:sRNA from 1 species
AUACAUCUAGAACCAUACCCCUAAACUCCCUAGAUGGAAGGAUUAUGUGAUCAUAAUCCUUCUUUUUU